GCUGGAAUUAGCUAGUAAUGGCAGGUCAGCAUACUGCCGUGAAUACGUUCCCGGGGCCCUUGUACACACCGCCCGUCACACCAUGAGAGUUGGAAAUACCCGAAGCCUGUGAGCUAACUUAAAGAGGCAGCAGUCGAAGGUAGAGCCAAUGAUUGGGGUGAAGUCGUAACAAGGUAGC
rnacentral:rRNA from 1 species